UUUCCUUGCAUCUCCAUGGACACCAGGGACAACAUUUCUAUUUCUUAUGUUAAGAAUGUUCAUCUUAGCUAUCCCUCUUUCCCACUGUUGGCCUAGUCUAAGAACUGUGCAGAGUUCUCAAGAGCGCUCUGUGGCCCCAGGUCAGACCACUCCUGUUUCUGGUGCCCUGCUAAUUCUCAGGACUACAGCACUACCAGAGGCCAGAUUAAGAACUGCUGUCGUGGCUAGAGUCAAGCCCCCGAGUCAGUGGUACUGACAGAACCCAAUCAUUCAUUUCUUGAACCCGUCAUGGUCUUGUGAUUGUGUGCGUGUGUGUUUUGCAGAGAAGGAGCCCUCAGUUCUGAGAAAAGUACUGUUGGAGGAUGAGGUGUUGGCUGCCAUGGUGUCUGUCAUUGGCACUGCUACGACCCACCUGAGCCCUGAGUUAGCUGCCCAGAGUGUCACACACAUUGUGCCCCUCUUCUUGGAUGGCAAUGUCUCUUUUCUGCCUGAAAACAGCUUCCCGAGCAGAUUCCAGCCAUUCCAGGAUGGCUCCUCAGGGCAGAGGCGGCUGAUUGCACUGCUUAUGGCCUUUGUCUGCUCCCUGCCUCGAAAUGUAAGUGAGCACAUUUGGGAAGUACCAUUAUUUAACCUUGACAAGGUGACUCUGGGCUGAAAUUUGCCACAGGCUAAGCUGAUCUUUUACUUCCCCCACCAGAGAAGUUAGUUCUCAUCCGUCCCGGUCCCUGCUGCCACUGUGUACUGGGUCUCUUGGAGUUCAAGUGUUCUCUGGGUCCAUUACAUGGCCAGGUUUUCUGUAGGUGGAAAUCCCUCAGCUGAACCAACUCAUGCGGG
rnacentral:sRNA from 1 species